UACGUAGGGUGCAAGCGUUGUCCGGAAUUAUUGGGCGUAAAGGGCUCGUAGGCGGUCUGUUGCGUCGGGAGUGAAAACUUACAGCUUAACUGUGAGCGUGCUUCCGAUACGGGCAGACUUGAGGUAUUCAGGGGAGAACGGAAUUCCUGGUGUAGCGGUGAAAUGCGCAGAUAUCGGGAAGAACACCCGUGGCUAAGGCGGCUCUCUAGUACGGUACUGACGCUGAGACGCGAAAGCGUGGGGAGCGAACAGG
rnacentral:rRNA from 1 species